rnacentral:rRNA from 1 species
CGCACCCGCUCGCCGGUGUCGAGGUGGAUAAGCCUCCCCGACGCCUCGGUCUCCUCCUCCCCUGUCACUCCCAGUUCCCCUCGCCUGCUCCGCCUCUCCCUCUCCCCACCAGAUCCCCCUAGCUCUCCCUCUCCCUAGCUCUUUCUUCCCCUCUGCCCGAGCUCCUCCGAGCAGGCUCAUCGCCGUCCGCCGCUCACAGACGCGGCCAUCGUCGACUCCGCGACCAGCUGAGCAGCUCGGAAGCUCCGCCGGCCUCUCCCUCUUCUCGUGGAGCUCUCAGGCAAAGCCGGGGAGGCCCGCAUCGAUGUCAGCAACCGAUCCCCUUUUCGGCCACUGUGCGUCGUCACCGUUCAACUCCGGCAUCGUCGUGCGCUACUAAGCUCCCGAAGGCCUCCGUGCGCCGCUCGACCCUGACGUCGACGUAGCUCUAGAGACCGGCGCAACUUCGAAGUAUGACUACGCCCCUGACGAUUAGACCCUUGCCGCCGAGCUUCCAGAUGGUGGAGCCCAGGAUCCAGAUGCCACCUUCGACGAUGACUGCUACUACACUGAGGUGCCUACUAGUACGCGGAGGCCGCCGACGACCAGGAGUAGUUAGGAGGCUCCUAGGCAGGAGGCCUUGCCUUUUCGAUCGAUAUUGCUUUUGUGCUAGCCUUCUUAAUGCAAACUUGUUUAACUCAUCUAUGUACUCAGAUAAUGUUGCUUCAGCUGACUCGUUUGUAACCGAGCUUAUGUAUUCGAGCCCUCGAGGCCCUUAGCUUGUAAUAUAAAGCUUGUAUUAUUUUAAUUUG